GCACCAGCUAGGCCCGCGAACCGAAAAGCGGGACACCCUGCCCGCCUGCUGGUGCACCUCUUUUCAGGG
rnacentral:sRNA from 1 species